CAGACGGUACUAUGGGAGAGGAGAGAGACAGUAGACAGACUGUAGCAACGGAGAGGGGAGACAACAGACAGACGGUAGUAACAGAGAGGAGAGACAGUAGACAGACUGUAGUAACAGAGAGGAGAGACAGUAGACAGACGGUAGUAAUGGAGAGGAGAGAGACAGUAGACAGACGGUACUAUGGGAGAGGAGAGAGACAGUAGACAGACUGUAGCAACGGAGAGGGGAGACAGUAGACAGACGGUAGUAACAGAGAGGAGAGACAGUAGACAGAC
ensembl:lncRNA